rnacentral:rRNA from 1 species
GACGAUCGCUGGCGGCGUGCUUAACACAUGCAAGUCGAACGGAAAGGCCCUGCUUUUGUGGGGUGCUCGAGUGGCGAACGGGUGAGUAACACGUGAGUAACCUGCCCUUGACUUUGGGAUAACUUCAGGAAACUGGGGCUAAUACCGGAUAGGAGCUCCUGCUGCAUGGUGGGGGUUGGAAAGUUUCGGCGGUUGGGGAUGGACUCGCGGCUUAUCAGCUUGUUGGUGGGGUAGUGGCUUACCAAGGCUUUGACGGGUAGCCGGCCUGAGAGGGUGACCGGCCACAUUGGGACUGAGGUACGGCCCAGACUCCUACGGGAGGCAGCAGUGGGGAUAUUGCACAAUGGGCGGAAGCCUGAUGCAGCAACGCCGCGUGCGGGAUGACGGCCUUCGGGUUGUAAACCGCUUUCGCCUGUGACGAAGCGUGAGUGACGGUAAUGGGUAAAGAAGCACCGGCUAACUACGUG